UACGUAGGGUGCAAGCGUUAAUCGGAAUUACUGGGCGUAAAGCGUGCGCAGGCGGUUAUGUAAGACAGAUGUGAAAUGCCCGGGCUCAACCUGGGAACUGCAUUUGUGACUGCAUGGCUAGAGUUUGGCAGAGGGGGGUAGAAUUCCACGUGUGAGCAGUGAAAUGCGUAGAUAUGUGGAGGAAUACCGAUGGCGAAGGCAGCCCCCUGGGUCAAGACUGACGCUCAUGCACGAAAGCGUGGGGAGCAA
rnacentral:rRNA from 1 species